UUUCAUUUAUUCUUCUCUUGUGCUUUUAGCAAGCGAAUGCAAGAUAAGGUCAUUGGGUAAUAAAAUUUAAUGUUUAGUCCUUUAGCAAAUAGUAUUUCAUUAAUGUUGGCACUGUUGGAGCAAUAGAUGAUAGUUAUGCAAAUAUCUACAAACCUUUGAAAAUUGAGUAUCAUUAAAACAUAAGAAUAAAAAUUACACAAAAUGAUGCAAAAAGAAACCAGAUAUGAUGUGUAUAAUGAUGCAAUAAGAAACCC
rnacentral:lncRNA from 1 species